UACGGAGGGUGCGAGCGUUGUCCGGAAUCAUUGGGCGUAAAGGGCGCGUAGGUGGCCCGGUCAGUCCGUGGUGAAAGCGCGGGGCUCAACCCCGCGUCGGCCAUGGAUACUGCUGGGCUGGAGCACUGUAGAGGCAGGCGGAAUUCCGGGUGUAGCGGUGGAAUGCGUAGAGAUCCGGAAGAACACCGGUGGCGAAGGCGGCCUGCUGGGCAGUUGCUGGACACUGAGGCGCGACAGCGUGGGGAGCGAACAGG
rnacentral:rRNA from 1 species